CCUACGGGAGGCAGCAGUGAGGAAUAUUGGUCAAUGGCCGGAAGGCUGAACCAGCCAAGCCGCGUGAGGGAGGAAGGCGCAGAGCGUCGCAAACCUCUUUUGCCGGGGAACAAAAGGCCGGACUCGUAGGGUCCUGAGGGUACCCGGAGAAAAAGCAUCGGCUAACUCCGUGCCAGCAGCCGCGGUAAUACGGAGGAUGCGGGCGUUAUCCGGAUUCAUUGGGUUUAAAGGGGGCGCAGGCGGGCCUUUAAGCCGGCGGUGAAAUCGCGGGGCUCAACCCCGCCGUGCCGUGGGAACUGGGGGCCUUGAGUGCGGGGGAGGCAUGCGGAAUGCGUGGUGUAGCGGUGAAAUGCUUAGAUAUCGCGAAGAACCCCGAUUGCGAAGGCAGCGUGCGGUGCCGCAACUGACGCUGAGGCACGAAAGCGCGGGGAUCGAACAGGAUUAGUUACCCGAGUAGUC
rnacentral:rRNA from 1 species